UACGAAGGGGGCUAGCGUUGUUCGGAAUGACUGGGCGUAAAGGGCGCGUAGGCGGUUGACCAAGUUGGGGGUGAAAGCCCGGGGCUUAACCUCGGAAUUGCCUCCAAAACUGGUCGGCUUGAGUGUGGAAGAGGGUUGUGGAAUUCCCAGUGUAGAGGUGAAAUUCGUAGAUAUUGGGAAGAACACCAGUGGCGAAGGCGACAACCUGGUCCAUUACUGACGCUGAGGCG
rnacentral:rRNA from 1 species